rnacentral:rRNA from 1 species
GACGAACGCUGGCGGCGUGCUUAACACAUGCAAGUCGUACGGUAAGGCCCUUUCGGGGGUACACGAGUGGCGAACGGGUGAGUAACACGGGAGUAACCUGCCCACAACUUUGGGAUAACGCUAGGAAACUGGUGCUAAUACUGGAUAUGUGCUCCUGCUGCAUGGGGGGGGUUGGAAAGCUCCUGCGGUGGUGGAUGGACUCGCGGCCUAUCAGCUUGUUGGGGGGGUAGUGGCCUACCAAGGCGGCGACGGGUAGCCGGACUGAGAGGGUGACCGGCGACAUUGGGACUGAGAUGCGGCCCAGACUCCUACGGGAGGAAGCAGUGGGGAAUAUUGCACAAGGGGCGCAAGCCUGAUGCAGCAGCGCCGCGUGCGGGAUGACGGCCUUCGGGUUGUAAACCGCUUUCAGCAGGGACGAAGCUUUUUGUGACGGUACCUGCAGAAGAAGCACCGGCUAACUACGUG